CUGCAGCUCAAGUGGUAGCCGCUAUUAUUGGGCCUAAAACGUUCGUAGCCGGUUUAGUAAAUGCUUGGGUAAAUUGUGUCGCUUAACGAUACGAAUACCGGGUAGACUGCUAAACUUGGGACCGGGAGAGGUUAGAGGUACUCCUGGGGUAGAGGUGAACUUCUGUAAUCCUGGGGGGACCACCAGUGGCGAAGGCGUCUAACCAGAACGGGUCUGACGGUGAGGGACGAAGCCCUGGGGAGCAAACCGGAUUAGAUACCCGAGUAGUCC
rnacentral:rRNA from 1 species